rnacentral:lncRNA from 1 species
CCACCAACCAGGUGAAGAAGGAACUCAUCUUCAUGCCACCAACCAGGUGAUGAAAUGUACAACCCGUACUCUCCUUCAUGCCACCAACUAGGUGAUGAAAUGUACAACUUGUACUAUAAUAUCAUUUGGCAACUUGCCACUCAUACCACAAACCAGGUGAUGAAAUGUACAGCCUAUACUCUAAUAUCAUUUGGCAACUUGCCAUUCAUGCCACCAACCAGGUGAUGAAAUGUACAACCCGUACUCUCCUUCAUGCCACCAAUCAGGUGAUGAAAUGUAUAACCCGUACUCUAAUAUCAUUUGGCAACUUGCCAUUCAUGCCACCAACCAGGUGAAGAAAGAACUCAUCUUCAUGACACCAACCAGGUGAUGAAAUGUACAACCCGUACUCUAAUAUCAUUUGACAACUUGCCACUCAUGCCACGAACCAGGUGAUGAAAUGUACAACAUGUACUCUCCCUCAUGCCACCAACCAGGUGAUGAAAUGUAUAACUCGUACUCUAAUAUCAUUUGGCAACUUGCCAUUCAUGCCACCAACCAGGGGAAGAAGGAACUCAUCCUCGUGCCACCAACCAAGUGAUGAAAUGUGAUGAAAGGUGAUGAAGGA